rnacentral:rRNA from 1 species
GGCUGGACCCUCUAGAAGCACAGGAACGCAUGCAUAUUCGACAAUGCUCGGCCCUCCACUGCCGAGACUACCCAAGCCGCCCUUGCCGAGGCUAGGUUUUGGUCUAUGGCAGGAGCCAAAGGGCUACGUGUACUCAUUUUCGAACCGCCUUGA